GCGCCCGUAGCUCAGCUGGAUAGAGCGUUGGAUUCCGAUUCCAAAGGUCAGAGGUUCGAAUCCUCUCGGGCGCGCCA
rnacentral:tRNA from 1 species